CACGUAGGGUGCGAGCGUUGUCCGGAAUUAUUGGGCGUAAAGCGCGCGCAGGCGGCUAUUUAAGUCUGGUGUUUAAACCUUGGGCUCAACCUGAGGUCGCACUGGAAACUGGGUGGCUUGAGUACAGAAGAGGAAAGUGGAAUUCCACGUGUAGCGGUGAAAUGCGUAGAGAUGUGGAGGAACACCAGUGGCGAAGGCGACUUUCUGGGCUGUAACUGACGCUGAGGCGCGAAAGCGUGGGGAGCAAACAGG
rnacentral:rRNA from 1 species